ensembl:rRNA 5_8S_rRNA 5.8S ribosomal RNA
GACUUUUAGCGGUGGAUCACUCGGCUCAUGCUUUGAUGAAGAAUGCAGCUAGCUGUGAGAAUUAAUGUGAAUUGCAGGACACAUUGAUCAUGGACACUUCAAAUGCACUUGCGGCCUCAGUUCCUCCCAGGGCUAUGCCCGGCUGAGCAUCA